rnacentral:rRNA from 1 species
AUGAACGCUGGCGGCGUGCCUAAUACAUGCAAGUCGAGCGAACGGACGAGAGGCUUGCUUCUCUGAUGUUAGCGGCGGACGGGUGAGUAACACGUGGAUAACCUACCUAUAAGACUGGGAUAACUUCGGGAAACCGUAGCUAAUACCGGAUAAUAUUUUGAACCGCAUGGUUCAAAAGUGAAAGACGGUCUUGCUGUCACUUAUAGAUGGAUCCGCGCUGCAUUAGCUAGUUGGUAAGGUAACGGCUUACCAAGGCAACGAUGCAUAGCCGACCUGAGAGGGUGAUCGGCCACACUGGAACUGAGACACGGUCCAGACUCCUACGGGAGGCAGCAGUAGGGAAUCUUCCGCAAUGGGCGAAAGCCUGACGGAGCAACGCCGCGUGAGUGAUGAAGGUCUUCGGAUCGUAAAACUCUGUUAUUAGGGAAGAACAUAUGUGUAAGUAACUGUGCACAUCUUGACGGUACCUAAUCAGAAAGCCACGGCUAACUACGUG